rnacentral:lncRNA from 1 species
UGGCACAGGAGGCCGAGGCCGAGGUGGAGGUAGAGGAGGUCCCCAACACCGUCCUCAUCUGUAUGGUGAUCCUGCUGAACAUCGGCCUGGCUAUCCUAUUCGUUCACCUCCUGACUUGACCCUCAUCUACCAGAACCACUGAGGAUGCCAGGACCUGUCUUUCUGCAGUGCCAAGCAGGUGUCCCAGGAGGAUGGGACUGCGGACCUAAAGCCUUGCUCACAUCCACUCCAUGGACAUUUAAGGAGGCCUCCCGUGAGCCCAUGCUGGGUGCCGGGGUGCCAGAGGAAGAGAAUGUCUAGGUACCCUCCGGGGUAAAGGAUGCCCCGAGGGAGUAGCCCUGGUCUCCCGAACCCCUUUGCUCCUGCACCUGUCCUCAGUCCUGCCCCACUUUGCCCUGCCACCCUUCCCUGGGCUUUUGUGCGUUUUGAGAGAUAUCACGAAAGCAAGAUAUUCAUACAGAUCUCUCCCUCUUCCUCCUACCCUACCCCCAACCUAGUCCUCUGGCUGAUGGCUUGAGGCCACGCAGAAAGACAAAGGGUGCAGAUGUCCCUUGGGUAGUGCAGUCACUCCCCCAGCCUAUACUGCUCAGAGUUCACAGACUUCUGGAGGGCAGCGUAGGAAACAGAGAAGCCCAGUUGAAUAUCCUCCAACCAGUCCAGUUGUCAUCCCCUAGGACCAGUAGUGGGGGAGACCUGAGCAUCUGAGCCUUUGGCUGGGAAGCCACCUAAAGGGGUCUGGGGUGGGGUGGAGAAGGUUAGGCAUGUUGGUGAUGGCCCCUAAUUCUGAGUGUGUCUGAGCCUGAGGCAGGAGUUCAUUUAGGGUCAUAGAUGUUCCCUGGGCAUUUCGUAGGAGCUCUGCGUCUGAGAGCUACGGCUACUGUGAUGUCCUAUGAAUUGGCUUAUCCCUGUCCCCCGUCGAAGCCACAUUGGGAUCAGGGGAGCAUGGCACGGAAAUCUGUGGAAGUCGAGAGCUGUAUCCCCUGGUGCGCAUUCUCUGGCAGAGGCUGGAGACAAGCGCUGUGCAGGAGACGGGAGCAAGUCUGGGCUCUAGCCAGAUGCGGCCUGUGCAACAAUGAAUCAUGCUUGGCAAAAGGUUUACCCGCAUGCACCUCACUUAAAGAAGUUUGCACCACACUGUGUGUCCCGGCCCUCAGGCUUGCUGGGUAUAGCAUGGCAGCUCAGGACAAGUGGCUCCCCAUUCCCAGGAGGGUGGAAGGAAAGAGUCGCAGGCCCCUCGAGUUUAGGGAAGAGGAGGCGACGGCAUCCACACUGAGCUGGAGGAAGCUAUUGGUCCUCUGACUUUGGACCUCUCGGACUUGAGCAUGGAAGCCAGGUAUCCUCCCAGGGCAACGUUGAACCUACAUAUUGGGGGUCAGCUUCCUUUUCUUCUCAGUCCACGGGCACCUUCUCCUCUAGAGUCACACUGGCUGCUCCUAGCUCUGCUGGGGCCUGGUGGUUUGGUUGGAAUUGCUUUUCUACUGACAGGAGCCUGCGGAUGCUCUUGUACCUGCCAGCGUAGGCAGGGCUCUGCCUCUGGUUGGGUUUUCCUGGAUUCUAGGGAGUAAGGGGGUGACAGGCCCUCGGCCUUGGUUCUGAGGUCAUUGCUCUCCACUCUGGGUGCGGUCCAGGCCUGAGAACAAGCUUGUCACUGUCAGAGCUAUCAGAGCUGUUUUAGGGGAUAUGGGUUGAAGGGUUAGGGUUCAGGAUGCCAAGUCUGUGCCAAAAUAAAUCCGCAUAUGCUCACAAGUUCAACUGCACU